GUAAGCGAGUUUGCGAUGAGUCAAAAGAGAAUAUUGAUCAAGAGAAGGCAUUGAAGGACGAGUUGGAAUCGGAGGAGAAGAAUUCAUCUGCUAAGAUUGAAGAUGUUCAGGUGGAAUCGGAGAAGGGUGCCGUGAGGAAGGUUGCGAGCUUCAUUGGAGAGAAAUUUUGGGGAAUUUGGAGCAGGGAUUAAUUAAUUUCCUUUUUUUUUUUUUUUUUUUUU
rnacentral:misc_RNA from 1 species